rnacentral:rRNA from 1 species
AGUGAACGCUGGCGGUAGGCCUAACACAUGCAAGUCGAACGGCAGCACAGUAAGAGCUUGCUCUUACGGGUGGCGGGUGGCGGACGGGCGAGGAAUACAUCGGAAUCUACUUUUUCGUGGGGGAUAACGUAGGGAAACUUACGCUAAUACCGCAUACGACCUACGGGUGAAAGCAGGGGAUCUUCGGACCUUGCGCGAUUGAAUGAGCCGAUGUCGGAUUAGCUAGUUGGCGGGGUAAAGGCCCACCAAGGCGACGAUCCGUAGCUGGUCUGAGAGGAUGAUCAGCCACACUGGAACUGAGACACGGUCCAGACUCCUACGGGAGGCAGCAGUGGGGAAUAUUGGACAAUGGGCGCAAGCCUGAUCCAGCCAUACCGCGUGGGUGAAGAAGGCCUUCGGGUUGUAAAGCCCUUUUGUUGGGAAAGAAAAGCAGCAGGUUAAUACCCCGCUGUUCUGACGGUACCCAAAGAAUAAGCACCGGCUAACUUCGUG